rnacentral:SRP_RNA from 1 species
GCCAGGUGCGGUGGCGUGCGCCUGUAAUUCCAGCUACUUGGGAGGCUGAGGCAGGAGAACUGCUUGAACCCGGGAGGCAGAGGUUGCAGUGAGCCAAGAUUGUGCCACUGCACUCCAGCCUGGGUGACAGAGCGAGACUCUGUCUCAA